UUUGAAUCAUUUGGCUUUGAGAUGGCCAGAGGUGGUUAAAACCACAACAACUCCAGUGAUGCUGUGAGCCAUUAAUUUCGAUAUGCAAGUUACAGCCAGUACCACCAUCACUGUCCGCGCUGACAGGGAACUUCUGAUGAUGACUUGCCAUAUGCCAGACACUGAGAAGUGUUUGACCAGAUGCAAGAAUCUCUUUCUGGACUCCAUAUUUUCUUCCACUUGUCCAAUAGCUGCCAACCUAUGGUUAUGAUUACCAUAGAUUUUUAAUGUCUUCAAAUCAGGGGUUCAGGAUAGGCCUCCUCAAGACGUGUGACUUUGGCAUGUGGAUUAUUUCAAACUGAAGGCAACUGAGAC